AUUGAACGCUGGCGGCAUGCCUUACACAUGCAAGUCGAACGGAUUCAAGAGGCUUGCUUCUUGAGUUAGUGGCGAACGGGUGAGUAAAGCAUCGGAACGUACCCAGUUGUGGGGGAUGACGUAGCGAAAGUUACGCUAAUACCGCAUACGCACUGAGGUGGAAAGCGGGGGACCGAAAGGCCUCGCGCAAUUGGAGCGGCCGAUGUCGGAUUAGCUAGUUGGUGAGGUAAAGGCUCACCAAGGCGACGAUCCGUAGCUGGUCUGAGAGGACGACCAGCCACACUGGAACUGAGACACGGUCCAGACUCCUACGGGAGGCAGCAGUGGGGAAUUUUGGACAAUGGGCGAAAGCCUGAUCCAGCCAUGCCGCGUGAGUGAAGAAGGCCUUCGGGUUGUAAAGCUCUUUCAGACGGAAAGAAAUCUUUCGGGUGAAUAUCCCGGAAGGAUGACGGUACCGUAAGAAGAAGCACCGGCUAACUACGUGCCAGCCGCCGCCGUAAAAC
rnacentral:rRNA from 1 species